AUGACCUCCAACGCCGGCAGCGGGGAGAUGACGGGCGUGAUGGUCGAGAAGGACAUGAGGGAGAAGCACGGGUUCCCGCCGGAGUUCCUGAACCGUCUCGACGAGGUGAUCGUGUUCCGGGAGCUCACCAGGCCGGAGAUGAAGGAGAUCGCCUCCAAGAUGCUGGAGGAGGUGGUCCGGCGGAUGAGGGAGAAGGGGAUGGAGCUGCGGGUGACGGAGAGGUUCAAGGAGGUGAUGGCCGAGGAAGGGUACGACCGCAGCUACGGCGCGCGGCCGCUGCGGAGGGCCAUCACCAGGCUGCUGGAGGACAAGCUGGUGGACAUGAUGCUCGCCGGGGAGGCCAAGGAAGGGGAUUCGUUGACUGUAGAUGUUGACCCCGAGGGGAACGUGGUCGUCCACAACCGACGGGCUGGCUGA
rnacentral:rRNA from 1 species